GAUGAACGCUGGCGGCGUGCCUAAUACAUGCAAGUCGAGCGAACAGAUAAGGAGCUUGCUCCUUUGACGUUAGCGGCGGACGGGUGAGUAACACGUGGGUAACCUACCUAUAAGACUGGAAAAACUCCGGGAAACCGGGGCUAAUGCCGGAUAACAUUUAGAACCGCAUGGUUCUAAAGUGAAAGAUGGUUUUGCUAUCACUUAUAGAUGGACCCGCGCCGUAUUAGCUAGUUGGUAAGGUAACGGCUUACCAAGGCAACGAUACGUAGCCGACCUGAGAGGGUGAUCGGCCACACUGGAACUGAGACACGGUCCAGACUCCUACGGGAGGCAGCAGUAGGGAAUCUUCCGCAAUGGGCGAAAGCCUGACGGAGCAACGCUGCGUGAGUGAUGAAGGUCUUCGGAUCGUAAAACUCUGUUAUUAGGGAAGAACAAAUGUGUAAGUAACUGUGCACGUCUUGACGGUACCUAAUCAGAAAGCCACGGCUAACUACGUG
rnacentral:rRNA from 1 species